AUUGAACGCUGGCGGCAGGCCUAACACAUGCAAGUCGAACGAGUGGCGGACGGGUGAGUAAUGUCUGGGACACUGCCUGAUGGAGGGGGAUAACUACUGGAAACGGUAGCUAAUACCGCACCCAUCGGAUUUGCCCAGAUGGGAUUAGCUAGUUGGUGGGGUAAAGGCUCACCUAGGCGACGAUCCCUCACUGGUCUGAGAGGAUGACCAGCCAAACUGGAACUGAGACACGGUCCAGACUCCUACGGGAGGCAGCAGUGGGGAAUAUGGCACAAUGGGCGAAAGCCUGAUGCAGCCAUGCCGCGUGUAUGAAGAAGGCCUUCGGGUUGUAAAGCACUUUAAGCGAGGAGGCGUUACUCGCAGAAGAAGCACCGGCUAACUCCGUGCCAGCCGCCGCGGUAAUAC
rnacentral:rRNA from 1 species